UGGUCCAAGAGUGGUUUCCUACCUAUAUC
rnacentral:piRNA from 1 species